CGCGGAUCCCACAAGCCCGGCAAGCCGCGGCGGUGGCGGCGGCAGGCGGCAUCCCAGGGUGAUAGGCCGGAGCAAUCGAGGGCCGAGGGCCCAGCCGCGUGUGCAGAGGAAUAACGAGGCGGAGGAGGAACUGCUGCCGAAGGCAGGAAAAAUCGGACACCGAGUUAUUCACCCAGCCGGUGAAUUCUUUACUGCUGAGCCACCUGGGAAGCCCCUCUAAGUACACAUUAUCAAUAUAAAGAAGAAAUGAGGAUUUGGAAUCUUGACUGUCAACUUGAGGACCAGAUGCUGGACUGUAAAGGUGGGCAGGAGGACCCCUGAAAGGAGAAAAUCAUGAUGAGGGAGGAAGGAGACUGGAACCGUGGACCCAGCUCAGCAAUACAACCUGAAGAGAAAGAUUCUUCAUGUAAGAGAUAUACUGCUACUGCUGCUAAGUCACUUCAGUCGUGUCCGGCUC